rnacentral:piRNA from 1 species
UCAGCCAAGAUGUCGCCUCAAA